rnacentral:lncRNA from 1 species
ACUCUUUGGCUGUUGUGCAGAUCUCUAUGUCGCGCAGCAACUGCCCUAAAGGAGAAAGUUUUCCUUGCAGCUUAACUAGCUGCCAACCCUACAUCCAGCUGGAUCGGGAUUAUCACUCUACACAUCCAGUGGCCCUGGAGAAGCUGCCCCUGCCUGGCCAGCAUCAUCCGGUUGCUACAGCCAAGGUGAAUCUGCCUGUGCAGCGAAUCCACCUUCAGUGUUUCCCCUGCCCCACUGGUCUCUACGCCAUCCCCAACAGGCAGAACAACUUCAAGAUGUUCUGUCCCUCCCGAACCAUGAAAAUCCCUCCUCUAGGGACAAAUCCUUCUUUUCCCACUUCCUGUCCAGCCUGGGUGGUUCAGGCUGAAGAAGUUCUGACAUUGGACCACCGGUCUCUUCCUUUCUCAAAGGAAACUGAGGCAAAAGUCAAAGAACUUAAAAACAGGAGGAGUGAAGAGAAGGGGAAGGGGAAAAAAGAGGAGGGAGAGGAAGAGGAGGAAGAGAAGGAAGUAAAACAGCAGCAGGAGGAACAGGUGGAGGAUGAAAAACUGGAGGAGGAGGAAGAAGAUGAAGAGGAGGAGGGAGAGGAGGAGGAAGAGGAGGAAGAGAAGGGAGAAGAUGAAGAAGAGGAGGAGGGAGAGGAAGAAGAGGGAGAGGAUGAAGAGGAGGAGGGAGAGGAGGAAGAGGAAGAGGAGGAAGAGGAAGAAGAGGAAGAGGAGGAAGAGGAGGAAGAGGAGGAGGGAGAGGAAGAAGAGGGAGAAGAUGAAGAGGAGGGAGAGGAGGAGGAAGAGGAGGAAGAGGAGGAGGGAGAGGAAAAAGAGGGAGAGGAUGAAGAGGAGGGAGAGGAGGAGGAAGAGGAGGUAGAAGAUGAAGAGGAGGUGGGAGAGGAGGAGGAAGAGGAGGAAGAGGAGGAGGGAGAGGAAGAAGAGGAGGAGGGAGAGGAAGAAGAGGAAGGAGAAGAUAAAGAGGUGGAGGGAGAGGAGGAGGAAGAGAAGGAAGAGGAGGAGGGAGAGGAGGAGGAAGAGGAGGAAGAGGAGGAAGAUAACAGCUGGCUCCUGGAGGAGACAGAAAUUCAAGAUGUUAAGGAAAGGUGUUCAUCCACUAGCCUCAUGCAAGCAGCCACAUGUGUGAGCUUAGCGGCCAAAUCUACCAUAAUAUCUGAAAAUCUACCCUGUGGACCUCAAGAAGGAUAUCAGCAUCCCCAUGAUGUAAAAACUGUGGAGAUGACUGCCCUUUUAUCUUCCAGGGAGUUCACUGCCAGCUCUUGUAGACCUGCUGGAGUGGUCCUCACUCAUGUGUGGUCUGGCGAGGAUGUGUCGGGGUGCCUGACACCAGCCUCAGCCAGCUGCUCCUCACAUCGGGAGACCUUUCCCAAGAAAGAACAGAGGACAAAAGGUCUUCCAGGCCCUGCACAUUCUCAGCCUCAGGCUAGUGCAUCAGGGAGCCCUGUUACUCCUGUGUCAGCAUUAAAGAGACCCUGCAAGAGAAAGGCAGCCACACCAGAGUUGCUGGUGCCACCCUCAGAGGUUCUACAACUACUGCAGGAUGAAGGUGACUGGCCCCCUCCUCCCAAGAUUCCACACCUUGAGGAAAAGAAAGAAUCAGACACCAUAAAGAACAAGAAGGGUCAGGCCAUCCAGAUCUCAGAUGAUAAAGUGAAUGUCUUAGAACCUAAAAGCCAGGAGGUGUCAGUCCGCACUGUCCCUCAGCCUGAUCUGCCAAGGUCCCCACCUUCUUCAGGACCUGGAGUCGCUCUGUCCUUACCCACUGAUGGGGUUUCCAGCCUUGGUGGUCCUGCCUCCACUCCCUUGUUAUGCCAGGCUGUUCGAUCUCCAAUCCCAUCUGUCCCUUCACCUUCCCCCACACCAAGUAUACCCACAAUCCCUAUUUCUCCUUUGGUUCUCCCUUCUGACUCUUUUCCUCCCUGUCAGGCCAGGCCCUGUGUGGAGACUCCACCAGAUUUCAAGAAGAAAGACCCUACUAAUGUGGCCACAACUCCUGCCAUUUCUGACCUCCCCAGGCCUGGGGCUGAAGCUUUGUCUUUCAAUCCCUCCUCCUGCAGGAGGGACUCCACAGUGUCAGUGUGCACAGCUAGCCACCCUCCUCUCCCCUUCUCUGCGGCUCCUCUAUCCCUCUUCCCCAGGAACCCUCCCACAGUCUUCCCUACCUCAGCAUCUCAGGACUGUGAAGACAUGUACUGGGAGCCAUCUCCGUGGCCUGCAGAGGUGGACAUGGAUACCACGCCCCCUUCUGAGGCGGCUAUUCUGAGCUCACCCACUGUCAGCAGUGGUAGCUCCUUACCAUUUGCUCCUAGCCAUGGCUGUAUCCAGCAGAGGAUGGUUGCAAACGCAACCGUGUCCAUUAGCCUACCUUCAUGCAAAGUCCCCUGCUAUACUAGCUUUGGGAACAAUCUGUUUACUCCAAGGCCCACCAUUGGGCAGAUGCACGGAGUGUCUCCCGCUGGUAAUCCUGGUGUUUGGAUCCAACCUGGGCUGGUAGCAGCUCUCCCUCCCAUGGCAGCAGUAACCCCAUCUCCUGCUGCUGUGGACUUUGAAUUCAUGGAUACCACCCCACCUUCUAAAGCUUUCAUCUUUCAUUCUCCCCCUGCCACUGACAAUGUCUCCAACAGUGUGCCUCCCCAGUCAGUUUGGGGGCAUACUCCAGCUUGCAAGCCUGCUGGAGCUACCCCUAGGACGACCCCUGCAUUGCUAAGUGGGCCGCCAGCUGAUGGCUGUGUCUUUAUGAGAAAUCCCCCCACCUUAAGAGCAGCACCUGGCUUGACGUCACGAGCUGGCCCACCUGCUGGAGGUAGCUCGACUCACCUAGGAUUUGUAGGCCCAGCAUCACCUGCUCACCAUGGCAGGCCUGAUGGCACUGAGCUAGCCUACAGGAAGAGCCCACGUGCUUCGUCCAUCGCCACAUCGACCUCAGGGUUGACUCUCAAGGCAAGAAUGGGUUCAGGGAACUGCAGCUCAUCAUCCACCAACUUCACUCCCAGCACCCCAACAUUGGUGAAACCUGUGGUGCCAGUAGAGGGGGAGAACUGUGGGCGUGGCACGCACCUGCAAGCACACCUACCCACAGCUCGCUACUACAUUGCUAGGAGGAAGGGGAAGGACAAUGGAGUUACUGUCGCCCCCAUUGUCCUCAAACUUUGCAGCUCAUCUGCACACACUGGUCAUGCUGUGUAAAUGGGGGAGGGGGAGAGAGGCACUAGAAGAGAGGUACAUGGAUCCCCACUGCCCUGCCUGGCUCUCCAGGCUGGCACAGGCUGAAGACUACUUCCUAUAGCCCUUGACUGGCAGCGCAGGCCUGGUAUUUACUGAACUGUAUGCACAAGUGCGGAACUUCACACCCUCACCUCUCCAGAUGCACAGAGACCUGUUGAGUAAGCAACAACCCUAGUUGGUUACUAGGAUUUUUGUCUGUAGUUUUGAGUGGAAUGAUAUUUUCAUGUGUGGUGGUCUGGGUAUUCCCAAGUUAGUUUUUGUUUUCUCAUGAUAAUAUUUGUGUUCUUUUAAUUAUUUAUUAAAAAUAAAGCUGGUCUUAAUGUUCU